ACUCUAAAAAGAGCUGGGUUAUUACUUUGACUAAACCCCUGGGUCAAUUGCUUUUCUAUGAAAAAUGGGUUAAAUAUAACCCAUAUUGGGUCAUUUUCCGUACCCAUUACCUGGGUUAUUCGCUAGACCCACAUCAGCACCCAGGCCCUGGGUCAUUUCAACCCUGUAAUCUAAGUUAUCUUGUCAAGAUAUUUGAAUUUUGAAUUUUACCGCCCGGUCGCCAUUGCCAAAACGGCUACCAGUAGACUACCAACGUCCAGAAGAAAGGACACCGGAUGGCAUGUGAAAGCAUUGUUUCGGUGGACUUCUCUCCUCUGACCUGUUACCAAGACAGCUGGGUGUGUAGGAAACUGGAACUAAGUCACUGAAGAAGUAAACCGAUGAAAACCGAUUUGGAUUGUCUGAGAGAUCUGUAGGACACAAGUAAGAGGAGAAGAAUGCUGCUCAGCUGGGUCGGCGUCGGCCACACUACUUAUUCAAGAAGCCCUUGGAUAUCAUCGGCAUGUAUGAAGCACAGUCAUUCCGGUAGUCCGUUCCUCGAUGGACGUGAUGACCUGGCACCAAAACCGCUUAAAGUGUAUGGAGCUGUGUCUGCAUCGAGGAAAGAACGCGGCACUGAAAUGACAAGAGGACUACUGCUCUACUGGGUCUGUGACACUACUUAUCCGAGGAGUCCUCAAACAUCAGGAUGUAGGAAGACACAAGUAAAAGGAGAAGAAUGCUGUUCAGCUGGGUCGGCGGCCACACUACUUAUUCAAGAAGCUCUUGGAUAUCAUCGGCAUGUAUGAAGUCCACUGAUGCCAAGCUGCUAAGGACCCCCACCCCCCCGCAGAAGAAGAUCGGCGACGCCGCGUUUGCCUGCUAUGCGCCCAAGAGAUGGAACGCCCUCCCCAUCGAGAUCCGAUCAGCCACCUCCGUCGACUCCUUCAAGAAGCAG